CGAAGCGUGACRGGGCUAYCCCGAGUGCCGUCCGCUGAGGAUGGCUUUUCUCUGGUGUAGAUGAGCCGGAGGAAUAAGGAGAGGGCAAGUCUGGUGUCAGCCGCCGCGGUAAUACCAGCUCUCCGAGUGGURGGGAUGAUUAUUGGGCCUAAAGCGUCCGUAGCCGGCURAGCAAGUUUCCCGUUAAAUCCAGCGAUCCAAUCGUUGGACUGCGGGAAAUACUGUUUGGCUAGGGGGCGAGAGAGGCCAACGGUAUUCUCGGGGUAGGGGUGAAAUCCUAUAAUCCCGGGAGGACCACCAGUGGCGAAGCUGUUGGCUAGAACGCGCCCGACGUGAGGGACGAAAGCUGGGGGAGCGAACCGGAAUUAGAUACCCGGGUAGUCCCAGCUGUAAACGAUGCAGGCUAGGUGUUAGGGCGGCUACGAGCCGCUCUAGUGCCGCAGGGAAGCCAUUAAGCCUGCCGCCUGGGGAGUACGGCCGCAAGGCUGAAACUUAAAGGAAUUGGCGGGGGGAGCAC
rnacentral:rRNA from 1 species